UGACGAUAAACCUUGACUGUACAAGGCUCGCAAAUCUUUACCCUGUGAUAUUCAUGCUGUGGUGCUUUAAGGCGAAAAGACUUUUCCUACUCAGUAUGAUGGUGCUGGUUCAGUCAGAAGUGCAGUUCUAGACCCCCCACAUUGAAAAGGUUUGUAUUCACAGCAAUUGAAUGCUAGGAGGACAGAACAGGCGUACACUACACAUCUCACAAACCACAGGUUCUUUGAGAGACUCCUGUUGGAUAUUAUUUUUAGAGUGCUUAGGGAGUUGUUCGCUUUCCCCACCAAUUCCUGCGCGUCCUAUCUUUCUCUUUCUCCGCCGAGUCCAUGGCACAUAACUUGUUAAGCACCAGCUUGGUCUCUCGUAAUCUUACUUUGAAGUCUUUCUUCCACGUAUCGAACCUCACCUUCAGUUUCCUCAAUUCAUCUUCAGGAUUUAAGUGUGCUUCGGUUAAGCCGGAUUUGACCUCAACGAGAAAAUCAACAUCAUCGUUAAAUACCUGAGUUCGGUGAUCAUAUUCUCUCAUCAGGUGGUUGACAACGGACCGCGCAGCGUCGACGUCACCACGAGGUGUGCUGUACUCAGAGCCUGUUACUAAAUAUUUGUUGGUGAACUGAUCCGGGCUCCUCGUGCCAUUAGUUGCGGCAUCGUCCCAGUCUAACUGCUCAUCACCAGGGGGCAGCAGUUGCCGCUUAGUGAUACGCUGCUGUUUCUCAAUAGAGAUGCAACCAUUGUCGUCUUUCACAGGAGUUUGCAGCGGAUGUUCGUCAGUUGCUAAACUCUGCUUGGCAGCUGCUAUGCUGAGUUGCAGCGAAGACAUCUGCUUUUGCCACAUCUCCUCCAUGGACGACAUCUUGGCUUCAUACUCCAUCCAACGUGCCUCAUAGUGUAGGAGCCUCUGCCGCAGUACAGCGUUAUCUUCCUCCUUCUCCCUCAGUGCUUUCUCUGCCAUGACUGCCCGCCGCUGCAACUCCAAAAGAUAUGAAGGUGCAACCUUGAUAGUAGCCUCUUUCAUUACCUGCACAACAAAGCGAUGACUUGGUGUUUAAGUAUCCUAGGAGAGCCUAACAUAUAAAGAAGUGAAGAAGAUUAAUCAUAAUCCACUGUGUAGAGAAGAGUGGUUACCAAAUUGAAGAGGUCUAACUUACUUGAGCAAAAACUGCAGGUUCUGGAGUUGCUACCUCCUUUACGCAUUCCAAAUCUCCAUCACCCUCAACGUUGGGAAGAGCAUCCUUUCCAUUAGUUGUAAAGUCUUGCUUAGAUUCAGUUUCUUCCGCAAUUCUUCUUUCCUCACUAAAUUUGGCUU
rnacentral:lncRNA from 1 species